rnacentral:pre_miRNA from 1 species
UUGAUCGGUGUGGAUUGGCAAGUAGAAUAGCAGGCUUAUCACAUGUACAAUUCAACCUAGUGUGAGAUUCUUCUAUUCUACUUUCGACAAACACCAGCUA